UACGGGGGGGCAAGCGUUGUUCGGAUUCAUUGGGCGUAAAGGGUGCGUAGGCGGCGCGGUAAGUCGGGUGUGAAAUCUUGGAGCUUAACUCCGAAACUGCAUUCGAUACUGCCGUGCUUGAGGACUGGAGAGGAGACUGGAAUUUACGGUGUAGCGGUGAAAUGCGUAGAUAUCGUAAGGAAGACCAGUGGCGAAGGCGGGUCUCUGGACAGUUCCUGACGCUGAGGCACGAAGGCCAGGGGAGCAAACGGG
rnacentral:rRNA from 1 species